rnacentral:rRNA from 1 species
UACGGAGGGUGCAAGCGUUAAUCGGAAUUACUGGGCGUAAAGCGCACGUAGGUGGUUUGUUAAGCUAGCUGUGAAAUCCCCGGGCUCAACCUGGGCACUGCAGUUAGAACUGGCAAGCUAGAGUAGGGUAGAGGGGUGUGGAAUUCCAGGUGUAGCGGUGAAAUGCGUAGAUAUCGCUUGGAACGCCAAAGGUGAAAACAGGCUGCUGGGGUUGUGCCGACGCUGAGACACGAAAGCCAGGGGAGCAAACGGG